CCUACGGGAGGCAGCAGUGGGGAAUAUUGGACAAUGGGGGCAACCCUGAUCCAGCCAUGCCGCGUGUGUGAAGAAGGCCCUCGGGUUGUAAAGCACUUUCAGUGAGGAAGAACGCCUGGUGGUUAAUACCCAUCAGGAAAGACAUCACUCACAGAAGAAGCACCGGCUAACUCCGUGCCAGCAGCCGCGGUAAUACGGAGGGUGCGAGCGUUAAUCGGAAUUACUGGGCGUAAAGCGCGCGUAGGUGGCUUGAUAAGCCGGUUGUGAAAGCCCCGGGCUCAACCUGGGAACGGCAUCCGGAACUGUCAAGCUAGAGUGCAGGAGAGGAAGGUAGAAUUCCCGGUGUAGCGGUGAAAUUCGUAGAGAUCGGGAGGAAUACCAGUGGCGAAGGCGGCCUUCUGGACUGACACUGACACUGAGGUGCGAAAGCGUGGGUAGCAAACAGGAUUAGAUACCCUAGUAGUC
rnacentral:rRNA from 1 species